UACGUAGGUGGCAAGCGUUGUCCGGAAUUAUUGGGCGUAAGGGCGCGUAGGUGGCCUGUGGAAGUCUGCGGUGAAAGCCCGGCGCUCAACGCCGGGUCUGCCGUGGAUACUCUCGGGCUUGAACUUACUAGAGGCAGAUGGAAUUCCGGGUGUAGCGGUGGAAUGCGUAGAGAUCCGGAAGAACACCGGUGGCGAAGGCGGUCUGCUGGGGUAAUGCUGACACUGAGGCGCGACAGCGUGGGGAGCAAACAGG
rnacentral:rRNA from 1 species